GGAAUCUUCCACAAUGGGCGCAAGCCUGAUGGAGCAACACCGCGUGAGUGAAGAAGGGUUUCGGCUCGUAAAGCUCUGUUGUUAGAGAAGAACGUGCGAGAGAGCAAUUGUUCACGCAGUGACGGUAUCUAACCAGAAAGUCACGGCUAACUACGUGCCAGCAGCCGCGGUAAUACGUAGGUGGCAAGCGUUGUCCGGAUUUAUUGGGCGUAAAGCGAGUGCAGGCGGUUUUUUAAGUCUGAUGUGAAAGCCUUCGGCUUAACCGAAGAAAUGCAUUGGAAACUGGGAAACUUGAGUGCAGAAGAGGAGAGUGGAACUCCAUGUGUAGCGGUGAAAUGCGUAGAUAUAUGGAAGAACACCAGUGGCGAAGGCGGCUCUCUGGUCUGUAACUGACGCUGAGGCUCGAAAGCGUGGGUAGCAAACA
rnacentral:rRNA from 1 species